AAGUUCAAACCAAACCGGUGCAAAAUUGAAAAAAAAAAAUCGGGCUGCGUGCUUUUCUUUCUUUCUUUCCCCCUACUUUUCCAUCCCCUGUUUUCAUCUCGUUUUCGCCUUCUCUUCCACCAUACCGAAUUUCCACUCCGAUCCAUUGAAGCAGCACCUCCUUCCCUCUCCAUAUCUCUGGCCUCCAUUGAACUCGCCGUGAUCUAUAUUCUCCAUUGAAGCCAAUUCUGAGCUUUCUCACCUCCAUUGAAGCAACUUCGAGGGUUUGUCAUUGAAGCGUGCACGACUUUACCUCCACCACAACGGCCUCCUUGUCACGGCGGCAGGGCCUUCUUUUUCUAGGGUUUAUCGUCAAUUCCCCCCUUUUUCUUCGAUCUUUUUUUUUUGAUAUUUUUUUUAUUAUUGAAGAUUUCUUAUGUAUUGUGUGUGUUAGUGUGUGAUUUCUGUGAUUUUGUUUUUGUUUCUUUGAGAUGUGCUGGUACAACUGUACAAGGAUGCGUCACUCUAUUUUGCAGACUUGUUGCAUGUAUAUAAAAAAAGUUCUUAGUACAUGUUUGAUGGAAAAUCGUAUUGAUCUGAGGCACAUAGGUUCUGAAGGCAUUUCAUUAUCCCGUGACAGUCACAUUGAUUCAAUUUGUUGUUGGGUCAGUGGUUGUUACCUUCAUGUGGAUGUUCAAUUUGUACAAGAAACCAAAAGUUAGCGCUGGGCAGGGAGUGAUAGGCCAGUUCUUGUCAUCAAGGGUCCAAAUGGAAGAAUCAAUAGAGCUGUUUGGGGGCCUUUAAACAACAAUAUAAUCAGCUGUGGCGAAGAUGCUAUCAUCCGUUUCUGGGAUCCUGUGGUGCUGUCUCUAUCCAACAAGAGUGAUAAUAAGCGUGCAAUUGAACAGUUGGUGACUGAAGAAACAUAUUCAAGGAAAGAAGCAAAUAAAUUGAUAAAACUUGUCAGGUCUCGUGUAGUGGACAGCAAUGGAACUUUUGGUGAAACUACUCUAAAUAUGCGGACCUCAGCAAUUAUGGAAGCCAGGAAAUGGCUGCAGGAGAAAAGAUCAGGCUCAAAGAAAAAGUUUGAGAUAGAGCUUGAUUCAGCAAAUGUGGCGUCACCAUUCCAAGUCGAUACCUUUUCUUACAAAUCUUGUCAAUGUCUUUACGUUGAUAGGUUAUCAAAAUUUAACAAGGUUGCCUGGAUGUUCAGCUUUUGUGUGUUGAUUAACUGAUUUUGAUAAUCUGGAUGUACUCGUCUUUGACCAGCGUGUGUUUAUGAUUUACUUUGUAUAACCUUAUGUUUGCUGUACAUGUUUAUGAGUGUCCUUAACUUUGGUUGCUAUUAGGUUCUGAGUUACUGACUGAUAUGUGGGCAUAGGUAUUUUGGUUUAACUGAUCAAUUUUAAUGCUUUCGAGGGUGGGAAGUGAUGUGAUGUCUUGAGGAUUGCUUUAUAACAAUGUUACUUAGACAAAUGUUGUCUUAUGUAAUAUAUAUUACUACCUCGGCUAUCUAUAUGAGCACACAACAAUUUGUGUUAAGACUUUAACUCUCCUUAAAUCCUACAGUACAGAGCAAACUGUGAAUGCUGUUAUCAUGUCUCCUUUACUGGACCACCUCUGGAGCCCUUUUUCAAUGUUGCUGCUUCUUAAUUUGUUCUCGGAUAGUCUAUCCUCAUUACUCUAUGGCUCUCCUUGGCUCCAGUUGUAAUUGAUGUUUCUAUGGCUUCCCUGACUGAUUUAUCAUUCAACUGGCUUGGCUUUAUCAGCGCUAUGAUUUCAAAUAUUUCCUUCACCUAUAGGAGUAUCUACUCAAAGAAAGCCAUGGCUAUGCUUCUCUUGUAACUUCUUCCAUAUGCAAUUGGCUUACGCUUCCUAAUAAUUUUUCUCUCCAUUUUUAGACUGACAUUUACAGUACUAAUCUCUACGGUCUUCAGAAAUUAAUUUCUCCUUGAUUAUGUAGUGUUUUUUUUUUUAUUUUUUUUUAGUUUUUUAAAUUGUGAUAUUACAAGUUAUU